UACAGAGGUCCCAAGCGUUGUUCGGAUUCACUGGGCGUAAAGGGUGCGCAGGUGGGUUUGCAAGUUCGAUGUGGAAAGCCCCGGGCUUAACCCGGGAAUGGCAUUGGAUACUGCAGAUCUGGAGGAUCGGAGGGGGGACUGGAAUUCUUGGUGUAGCAGUGAAAUGCGUAGAUAUCAAGAGGAACACCAGUGGCGAAGGCGAGUCCCUGGACGAUACCUGACACUGAGGCACGAAAGCUAGGGGAGCAAACAGG
rnacentral:rRNA from 1 species